rnacentral:rRNA from 1 species
AUGAACACCACCUACAUCACCACCCCCUCUGCACGUGAACGCCCCUCUUUCCCUCUCUCGUCGCCGUCACAUCCUCCUCACCCCCUCCCUCUCCCCCCAAAACCCCAGCCGAAAAUUUCCGUAGAGCGAAGCGCAGCGCAAGAAGGCGACCGGAGAGUGGCAGCCAGCAGCAGCAGCAGCCAGGCGAAACAGCGCCUCUCUUGUCCCUUUCCCCCCCUUUUUAAUCCCUCUCUCCUCCGCCCCCUCCCCGCAAGAAAAGCUCGGAUUCCUGGGCGUUUCCCCCCAUUCCCCUCCUCGAUCUGA